rnacentral:misc_RNA from 1 species
UCCGGUUUGUCACCAGCAGUCACCUUAGAGUGCCCAACUGAAUGCUGGCAACUAAGGUCAAGGGUUGCGCUCGUUGCGGGACUUAACCCAACAUCUCACGACACGAGCUGACGACAACCAUGCACCACCUGUCACUCCGUCCCCCGAAGGGGAACCCUCUAUCUCUAGAGGUAGCGAAGGAUGUCAAGACCUGGUAAGGUUCUUCGCGUUGCUUCGAAUUAAUCCACAUGCUCCGCCGCUUGUGCGGGCCCCCGUCAAUUCCUUUGAGUUUUAGCCUUGCGGCCGUACUCCCCAGGCGGGGUGCUUAAUGCGUUAGCUUCGGCACGGACGGGGUCGAUAUCCGCCCACACCUAGCACCCAACGUUUACGGCUAGGACUAC